rnacentral:rRNA from 1 species
CCUACGGGCGACAGCAGUGGGGAAUAUUGCACAAUGGGGGAAAGCCUGAUGCAGCGACGCCGCGUGAGUGAAGGAGUAUUUCGGUAUGUAAAGCUCUAUCAGCAGGGAAGAAAUAUCUACCUUUGGGUCGCCACACGGUACCUGAUUAAGAAGCCCCGGCUAACUACGUGCCAGCCGCCGCGGUAAUACGUAGGGGGCAAGCGUUAACCGGAUUUACUGGGUGUAAGGGGAGCGUAGACGGCAGCGCAAGUCUGAAGUGAAAUGCCGGGGCUUAACCCCGGAACUGCUUUGGAAACUGUGCAGCUAGAGUGCAGGAGAGGUGAGUGGAAUUCCUAGUGUAGCGGUGAAAUGCGUAGAUAUUAGGAGGAACACCAGUGGCGAAGGCGGCUUACUGGACUGUAACUGACGUUGAGGCUCGAAAGCGUGGGGAGCAAACAGGAUUAGAUACCCGUGUAGUC